GAUGAACGCUGGCGGCGUGCUUAAUACAUGCAAGUCGAACGGAGGAUGUAGCGAUAUGUCCUCAGUGGCGAACGGGUGAGUAACGCGUUGGUGACCUGCCCCGAAGAGAGGGAUAACAGUUCGAAAGGACUGCUAAUACCGCAUGAGGUCGUUGAGGCUAGAGGCUCGAUGACGAAAGGAGAAAUCCGCUUUGGGAGGGGCCUGCGACCCAUCAGCUAGUUGGUAAGGUAACGGCUUACCAAGGCGAUGACGGGUAGGGGACCUGAGAGGGUGACUCCCCCACAAUGGAACUGAAACACGGUCCAUACACCUACGGGUGGCAG
rnacentral:rRNA from 1 species